rnacentral:rRNA from 1 species
UGGUGCCAGCAGCCGCGGUAAUUCCAGCUCCAAUAGCGUAUAUUAAAGUUGUUGCAGUUAAAAAGCUCGUAGUUGAAUUUCGGGGUUAGUAAGUUGGUCAUGCCUCCGGUAUGCACUGGCUUUACUGAUUCCUCCUUCUUGAUGAACUGUAAUGUCAUUAAUUUGGUGUUGCAGGGAAUCAGGACUGUUACUUUGAAAAAAUUAGAGUGUUUAAAGCAGGCAUACGCUUGAAUACAUUAGCAUGGAAUAAUGAAAUAGGACGUUUGAUCCUAUUUUGUUGGUUUCUAGGAUUGACGUAAUGAUUAAUAGGGAUAGUUGGGGGCAUUAGUAUUCAAUUGUCAGAGGUGAAAUUCUUGGAUUUAUUGAAGACUAACUACUGCGAAAGCAUUUGCCAAGGAUGUUUUCAUUAAUCAAGAACGAAAGUUAGGGGAUCGGAGACGAUCAGAUACCGUCGUAGUCUUAACCAUAAACUAUGCCGACUAGGGA